rnacentral:rRNA from 1 species
UACGGAGGGGACUAGCGUUGUUCGGAAUUACUGGGCGUAAAGCGCGCGUAGGCGGAUUUGUAAGUCGGGGGUGAAAUCCCGGGGCUCAACCUCGGAACUGCCUUCGAUACUGCAAAUCUCGAGUCCGGAAGAGGUGAGUGGAAUUCCUAGUGUAGAGGUGAAAUUCGUAGAGAUUAGGAAGAACACCAGUGGCGAAGGCGGCUCACUGGUCCGGUACUGACGAUGAGGCGCGAAAGAGUGGGGAGCAAACAGA